GGCUACUAGGUUAGGAGGCUUAGAGGAGGAGAAGACGGCACUGCUUCGGCCUUUGAAAGAAGGACUGGAGUUAACUGCGAAGGAAAGAGAGAAGGGCAUUUAUGGCAGAGGAAUCAGUGCGAACUCAGGAUCGGAUAUUCACCCUCCUUUUCCUCAUAGCGCUGAUCCUGACAGCACAAUGCUGAGAUGCCUAGAUGUUCCUGUAGCCCUUGCCCCACAUGAAUCCCCAAGACAUGCCUGUGUUUGUUGACCUUCACUGGCCAAAAGGCGGCCGCCCCUACACAAGUCACUCCUGGGGACCUCACCUCUGGAUAAACCUCCCGCCUCAAACUAAAGGACACACUCCCACCGAGCCGCUGCCUCUGAGCCCGUUUGGCUCUGAUUGGCUGCAAGACUUGCGCCUUCAGGCUAGCCACUCAGAGGCGCCCGCCAGUUCCCCCUUGCUUCUUAUUGGCUGAGAGAAGCGCAUGCUCAGCCACACCACGCGCCGCAAGCUCAGAGCUAGGACAGCCGUUAACUGCUCGGCGUCGUCAUGUGGUUUCUUUACGGACUCGCUGGUCUCUGACAGCACAUAACCCGCGAGAGGCCCUAGUAUGCAGAUGAGGAUGUGACAGUGAGUUUGGAGUUGCCUUCAACUUUGGGGGAACAGAAGAAACUGAAGCACAAAACAGAAACUUAGAGAAGCUGAAAGAAGCUAAAGUAUUUAAAAACGCAUUAAAUGGACCAAAAGAAGAUGGCAGCAACGGACCACGGUACACGUCUGGACACUGUUUUCCAGUCUCCAGGGCCACCACCUGCCUCCACAGGCCCCACCUGAGGAUUCUCAGAGCUGCAGGAAUGAGAGUUCUUUCAACUUUUAUCCUCAUGGUGACUCCCCAUGCGGUUUCUUGAGGGCUGUGGUAAACCAUUUCUCUGUAAUAAAAAUACCCAUGAUACUCUUUUCUCUACUACCUCUUUGAAAUGUAAGAUGGCAGUACUAAAAAAAAGAUGGCAAUAUUAAAAUUGCUUAUAUUGAAUGUACUGUCAUUUCCAAAAUUCUU